rnacentral:rRNA from 1 species
GGGUUGUGAGGUUAAGCGACUAAGCGUACACGGUGGAUGCCCUGGCAGUCAGAGGCGAUGAAGGACGUGCUAAUCUGCGAAAAGCGCCGGCGAGGUGAUAUGAACCUUUGACCCGGCGAUGUCCGAAUGGGGAAACCCAGUGCAAUUCGUUGCACUAUCGUUAACUGAAUACAUAGGUUAACGAGGCGAACCGGGGGAACUGAAACAUCUAAGUACCCCGAGGAAAAGAAAUCAACCGAGAUUCCCCCAGUAGCGGCGAGCGAACGGGGAGCAGCCCAGAGUCUGAAUCAGCUUGUGUGUUAGUGGAAGCGUCUGGAAAGUCGCACGGUACAGGGUGACAGUCCCGUACACGAAAGCACACAGGUUGUGAACUCGAAGAGUAGGGCGGGACACGUGGUAUCCUGUCUGAAUAUGGGGGGACCAUCCUCCAAGGCUAAAUACUCCUGACUGACCGAUAGUGAACCAGUACCGUGAGGGAAAGGCGAAAAGAACCCCGGCGAGGGGAGUGAAAAAGAACCUGAAACCGUGUACGUACAAGCAGUGGGAGCACCUUCGUGGUGUGACUGCGUACCUUUUGUAUAAUGGGUCAGCGACUUAUAUUCUGUAGCAAGGUUAACCGUAUAGGGGAGCCGAAGGGAAACCGAGUCUUAACUGGGCGUUAAGUUGCAGGGUAUAGACCCGAAACCCGGUGAUCUAGCCAUGGGCAGGUUGAAGGUUGGGUAACACUAACUGGAGGACCGAACCGACUAAUGUUGAAAAAUUAGCGGAUGACUUGUGGCUGGGGGUGAAAGGCCAAUCAAACCGGGAGAUAGCUGGUUCUCCCCGAAAGCUAUUUAGGUAGCGCCUCGUGAACUCAUCUUCGGGGGUAGAGCACUGUUUCGGCUAGGGGGCCAUCCCGGCUUACCAACCCGAUGCAAACUACGAAUACCGAAGAAUGUUAUCACGGGAGACACACGGCGGGUGCUAACGUCCGUCGUGAAGAGGGAAACAACCCAGACCGCCAGCUAAGGUCCCAAAGUCAUGGUUAAGUGGGAAACGAUGUGGGAAGGCACAGACAGCCAGGAUGUUGGCUUAGAAGCAGCCAUCAUUUAAAGAAAGCGUAAUAGCUCACUGGUCGAGUCGGCCUGCGCGGAAGAUGUAACGGGGCUAAACCAUGCACCGAAGCUGCGGCAGCGACGCUUAUGCGUUGUUGGGUAGGGGAGCGUUCUGUAAGCCGUUGAAGGUGUCCUGUGAGGGGUGCUGGAGGUAUCAGAAGUGCGAAUGCUGACAUAAGUAACGAUAAAGCGGGUGAAAAGCCCGCUCGCCGGAAGACCAAGGGUUCCUGUCCAACGUUAAUCGGGGCAGGGUGAGUCGACCCCUAAGGCGAGGCCGAAAGGCGUAGUCGAUGGGAAACAGGUUAAUAUUCCUGUACUUGGUGUUACUGCGAAGGGGGGACGGAGAAGGCUAUGUUAGCCGGGCGACGGUUGUCCCGGUUUAAGCAUGUAGGCGGAACGAUUAGGUAAAUCCGGUCGUUUAUUAACGCUGAGGUGUGAUGACGAGGCACUACGGUGCUGAAGUAACAAAUGCCCUGCUUCCAGGAAAAGCCUCUAAGCAUCAGGUAACAUCAAAUCGUACCCCAAACCGACACAGGUGGUCAGGUAGAGAAUACCAAGGCGCUUGAGAGAACUCGGGUGAAGGAACUAGGCAAAAUGGUGCCGUAACUUCGGGAGAAGGCACGCUGAUAUGUAGGUGAAGCCCCUGCGGGUGGAGCUGAAAUCAGUCGAAGAUACCAGCUGGCUGCAACUGUUUAUUAAAAACACAGCACUGUGCAAACACGAAAGUGGACGUAUACGGUGUGACGCCUGCCCGGUGCCGGAAGGUUAAUUGAUGGGGUUAGCGGCAACGCGAAGCUCUUGAUCGAAGCCCCGGUAAACGGCGGCCGUAACUAUAACGGUCCUAAGGUAGCGAAAUUCCUUGUCGGGUAAGUUCCGACCUGCACGAAUGGCGUAAUGAUGGCCAGGCUGUCUCCACCCGAGACUCAGUGAAAUUGAACUCGCUGUGAAGAUGCAGUGUACCCGCGGCAAGACGGAAAGACCCCGUGAACCUUUACUAUAGCUUGACACUGAACACUGGUCCUUGAUGUGUAGGAUAGGUGGGAGGCUUUGAAGCGUGGACGCCAGUCUGCGUGGAGCCAACCUUGAAAUACCACCCUUUAAUGGCUGGUGUUCUAACGUAGACCCGUAAUCCGGGUUGCGGACAGUGUCUGGUGGGUAGUUUGACUGGGGCGGUCUCCUCCCAAAGAGUAACGGAGGAGCACGAAGGUUAGCUAAUCCUGGUCGGACAUCAGGAGGUUAGUGCAAUGGCAUAAGCUAGCUUGACUGCGAGAGUGACGGCUCGAGCAGGUGCGAAAGCAGGUCAUAGUGAUCCGGUGGUUCUGAAUGGAAGGGCCAUCGCUCAACGGAUAAAAGGUACUCCGGGGAUAACAGGCUGAUACCGCCCAAGAGUUCAUAUCGACGGCGGUGUUUGGCACCUCGAUGUCGGCUCAUCACAUCCUGGGGCUGAAGUAGGUCCCAAGGGUAUGGCUGUUCGCCAUUUAAAGUGGUACGCGAGCUGGGUUUAGAACGUCGUGAGACAGUUCGGUCCCUAUCUGCCGUGGGCGCUGGAGAAUUGAGGGGGGCUGCUCCUAGUACGAGAGGACCGGAGUGGACGCAUCACUGGUGUUCGGGUUGUCAUGCCAAUGGCACUGCCCGGUAGCUAAAUGCGGAAAAGAUAAGUGCUGAAAGCAUCUAAGCACGAAACUUGCCCCGAGAUGAGUUCUCCCUGACUCCUUGAGAGUCCUGAAGGAACGUUGAAGACUACGACGUUGAUAGGUCGGGUGUGUAAGCGCAGCGAUGCGUUGAGCUAACCGAUACUAAUGAACCGUGAGGCUUAACCUUACAACGCCGAAGCUGUU